UAGAUAGUGGCGGACGGGUGAGUAACGCGUGGGUAACCUACCCAUAAAUCAGGGACAACCCUUGGAAACGAGGGCUAAUACCGGAUAAUCUUUCUGCUUGGCAUCAAGCGUUAAGGAAAGGUGGCCUCUGAAAAUGCUACCGAUUAUGGAUGGACCCGCGUCUGAUUAGCUAGUUGGUGGGGUAAAGGCCUACCAAGGCGACGAUCAGUAGCCGGCCUGAGAGGGUGAACGGCCACACUGGGACUGAGACACGGCCCAGACUCCUACGGGAGGCAGCAGUGGGGAAUCUUCCGCAAUGGACGAAAGUCUGACGGAGCAACGCCGCGUGUAUGAUGAAGGUCUUCGGAUUGUAAAGUACUGUCUUUGGGGAAGAAUGACUGGCUUGAAAAUAUUGAGUCAGUAUGUCGGUACCCAAGGAGGAAGCCCCGGCUAACUACGUGCCAGCAGCCGCGGUAAUACGUAGGGGGCAAGCGUUGUCCGGAAUUAUUGGGCGUAAAGGGCGCGUAGGCGGAUAGUUAAGUCCGGUGUGAAAGAUCAGGGCUCAACCCUGAGAGUGCAUCGGAAACUGGUUAUCUUGAGGACAGGAGAGGAAAGUGGAAUUCCACGUGUAGCGGUGAAAUGCGUAGAUAUGUGGAGGAACACCAGUGGCGAAGGCGACUUUCUGGACUGUAACUGACGCUGA
rnacentral:rRNA from 1 species